rnacentral:lncRNA from 1 species
UCUCUUUCUCUCUCUCUCUCUCUCUCCUUCUCUCUUUACCUGUAGCUAUUUCCUCUUGCUCCUUUUAAACUCCCUAUUUUUGGAAUUCAUUGAUGUGAGAGUCAUAAAUACCAGUGAGGGGCCAGAGGGGUCUUUUGGGAUCGUGUAUUUUCUUCAGCAAUGACAAGAACGCGGGAGGCUAAUCAAAGCGGCUCUUAUCUGAAGCUUCUUAGCACCCGACGCGGAACAGAGGAAUGCGGCCAGCUAAGGGGGUUAGCGCAAGCUAAAUUCCACGCAGAGGAAUGCCAUGGAGAUGAGCUAUUGAGCUGGCUGCACCGUAUCCAAUGGUUCCGCCCCUUUGUUCCCUUUUCUGAAUUCUGAUUGGAACAAUGGAACAUCAAUCCAGUCCAAACAAGUGACUUUGGGGCAACAUCUGAAUUUUUGAAGGCGAACUUUGAUUGUGGCAUAGCUCCAAUAAGGCUCCUG